rnacentral:rRNA from 1 species
GUAGAUAUAUGGAGGNACACCAGUGGCGAAAGCGGCUNUCUGGUCUGUCACUGACGCUGAGGCUCGAAAGCGUGGGUAGCGAACAGGAUUAGAUACCCUGGUAGUCCACGCCGUAAACGAUGAGUGCUAGGUGUUAGGCCCUUUCCGGGGCUUAGUGCCGGAGCUAACGCAAUAAGCACUCCGCCUGGGGAGUACGACCGCAAGGUUGAAACUCAAAGGAAUUGACGGGGGCCCGCACAAGCGGUGGAGCAUGUGGUUUAAUUCGAAGCAACGCGAAGAACCUUACCAGGUCUUGACAUCCCGAUGCUAUUCUUAGAGAUAGGAAAUUACUUCGGUACAUCGGAGACAGGUGGUGCAUGGUUGUCGUCAGCUCGUGUCGUGAGAUGUUGGGUUAAGUCCCGCAACGAGCGCAACCCUUAUUGUUAGUUGCCAUCAUUAAGUUGGGCACUCUAGCGAGACUGCCGGUAAUAAACCGGAGGAAGGUGGGGAUGACGUCAAAUCAUCAUGCCCCUUAUGACCUGGGCUACACACGUGCUACAAUGGUCGGUACAACGAGUUGCGAGCCGGUGACGGCAAGCUAAUCUCUGAAAGCCGAUCUCAGUUCGGAUUGGAGGCUGCAACUCGCCUCCAUGAAGUCGGAAUCGCUAGUAAUCGCGGAUCAGCACGCCGCGGUGAAUACGUUCCCGGGCCUUGUACACACCGCCCGUCACACCACGAGAGUUUGUAACACCCGAAGUCGGUGAGGNA